rnacentral:rRNA from 1 species
CGGGUGAGUAAUGUAUGGGGAUCUGCCUGAUGGCGGGGGAUAACUACUGGAAACGGUAGCUAAUACCGCAUAACGUCGCAAGACCAAAGAGGGGGACCUCCGGGCCUCGCGCCAUCAGAUGAACCCAUAUGGGAUUAGCUAGUAGGUGAGGUAACGGCUUACCUAGGCGACGAUCCCUAGCUGGUCUGAGAGGAUGAUCAGCCACACUGGGACUGAGACACGGCCCAG